UACGAAGGGGGCUAGCGUUGCUCGGAAUCACUGGGCGUAAAGCGCACGUAGGCGGCUUUUUAAGUCAGGGGUGAAAUCCUGGAGCUCAACUCCAGAACUGCCUUUGAUACUGAGAAGCUUGAGUCCGGGAGAGGUGAGUGGAACUGCGUGUGUAGAGGUGAAAUUCGUAGAUAUUCGCAAGAACACCAGUGGCGAAGGCGGCUCACUGGCCCGGUACUGACGCUGAGGUGCGAAAGCGUGGGGAGCAAACAGG
rnacentral:rRNA from 1 species